AGUAACCCCGAGACGGUUGCGGCCCACAGGAUGCUUUCCUGUAACCUCUAAAGUGAUGGGAAAAGACAAAAACUCCCGGGAUGUGGGCUUCCGGCCAAGUUAUCAACGCGACUGAACCGACGCGUUCCCUUAAAUGGGUCAACGUUUCUAGGCCCGGGAGAGAAGUGAGGCCCUUUCUCCAGCGGACCCCCGGGCCGAGCCGUCGCUCCCACCCCCUCGCUUUCCUUGAGUUUAGCGCCGCCAGGCCGCCCCCACCCGGUCCCCCGCACCUUCACAGUCGCCUGGCCGCAGCGCCCGGCUGUCAGGCAGCACGCUCAGGGCCAGCGCUACCGCCAGCCCGCGCGUAGCCCACAUCCUCCUCGGCCGUCUCCACCACCGCCGCCGCCGCGCGAAUGAACCGCACCCGGCGCGGUGCUCCGCCUAGUGGGCUGGAACACAAACCCGAGCUUCCCAUUGGUGUGCGGUCCCCGCGCCCACCCAUAUGCUGCAUCCUCAUUGGUCCACGUGCCCAGGAGCCCAGACCGGCGGCUCCACGCUACCCUCCCUCAUUGGUUGCUGCUGUCCGGGACCUAGACAGUUGUCGGUUGCUGAUUGAGCCUGGGCGGGCCAUAGGCAGCGGCUGGGGGUCUGGGGGAGGUGCACGGGCCGCCAUGUUGGGUAAGGGCAGCUGCUUUGGCUGCUUACCCGGAACCCUCUCAAUCUAUUGACUCGACCCUAAUACCUGGUCUUGGCUCCACACCCACUCCUCCCGAGGCCCGGACUCGUGGAGCAGCAUUUCUGGCGCCACCCUAUAGCCAGUAGGAUGGGCGGCGCGAGUAAGGAUCAGAAGCGGUUCCUUGUUUUGAAUUACCACGUGGAUUGGCAAGCCAAUCAUGGGAAGCGUCCACUUUCAUUCGCCGGCUGCCCAGACCCCGCUUUUAUCCUGGGUCAGAUGGCAGAACCUCUUGAUCUAAAUAAAGGUGCUAGGUCUGCCUAGUCGGCUGCCGUCUUGGGCCUCUGAGGACCUCGCGGCGAGGCUGCGAGCAGAGGCGUUGGUCUAGCUUCCCAGUGGAGGCCAUGGGAUCUUGGGAGGUUUUGUUCUCCACUCUUGGAGAAACGAGAAUGGGAACUGGAGACAUUACCGCCUGGACUGCCCUAAUGCUAAGUGCAACGGCUUUGGCCACUCGCCCUGGAAGGCGGAAUAUGGAGGGCGGCCGACUAAGUGCAGAAAAGUAUCUGGAGCUAAAAGGGCUUGGAGCCCGGCGACAAGGGUUUGAGAGGGGCACUUAUGCUCCCAUUCAGUGAAAUCAGUGGAUCAAUAUCAGGUAUUCAUCUUUAAUUCACAUCACAGCAGUCAAGGGAUGGGGUGGGGGGAGUCAGUUGCCAGAUAUUUACAUCUAAAAGUCACAUUUCUUGUUGGAUUUAUAACAUGCUACCACAAUAUAUACAGUAAAAUGCCUCUUGGGACACUGGCACAAUUUUUUUUCUUUUAACUUUUCUGGUACAGGUAAGAUCAUUUUAAGCCAGUUUUUCUUUAGACAUGAAUACAACAAAAGAAAUGGUUAGAAGUUUUCUUGUUUUAAAUAAGCACAGAAUGCCAGAGGUUAAAAACACAUUUAUAGGGCUUAUUACCAAUUAGACACACUCUAUACAUUUUUUUUGCUCAAAUUCCUGUACAAAUACACAGCAUUCAAAUAGGUAUUUACAAAUACGCUUUAAAGAAUGAAAAUCAGUAUUUCACAAUCUUUUCAAAGGAUUCUGAUCUCUGGCUUCCCAUUUCCCUCACACUGGCUGGUUUUUCAAUAAAAAGUAUUCAGAAUAGGUCCAUUUCAUCCAGUUAGGGAAAAUGGAGAGGAGUAACACAAAUAUAUUUCACUUUGCAUAAAGCAAGGUCAAGGAACUUAACCUUACAUUCCCCUCCCUACCUCCUGUGCCAUCAAGUGGAGAAGGGAGAUGUCUGCAUGUGAUAACUGGCUGCCUCCAUGGACUGAGGUUCAAACAUGCCUGGAAACAAACCUAAAGCUGCCCUACCUAAGAAUCACAUUCCAAGCUAGACCUUGACCCUCAUACCUGUGAACCCGGACGGUCCAGAAACAAGCUUACCAGUGAGUCUGGGCUCAGGAACAGGUGUGUGUGCCCUUGGAGCUGGGGCUAUUGGAUUGGCCUACCUACAUCCUCAACAGUCUCUACUCUGCCUGAAUGAUCCUGAGGGUAUCAGAAAGCCCUACACUGUUGGUACCUGGGCCCCAACAUACUGUGAACGGAAAUGGGCCUUCUUUCUUUUUCUAUAGGUUAUUUGCUGGCAGUUCUAUUAAACUUGUUUCUAAGAG
rnacentral:lncRNA from 1 species